ACGGUUACCUUGUUACGACUUAGCCCCAGUCACCAGUUUCGCCCUAGGCCGGUCCUCGCGGUCCCGGACUUCAGGCGCCCCCGGCUCCCAUGGCUUGACGGGCGGUGUGUACAAGGCCCGGGAACGUAUUCACCGCGCCAUGGCUGAUGCGCGAUUACUAGCGAAUCCAACUUCGUGGAGUCGGGUUGCAGACUCCAGUCCGAACUGGGACAGGUUUUCGAGAUCGGCAUCCGGUCGCCCGGUAGCACCCCUCUGUACCUGCCAUUGUAACACGUGUGUCGCCCCGGACGUAAGGGCCGUGCUGAUUUGACGUCAUCCCCCCCUUCCUCGCACCUUGCGGUGGCAGUCCCUCCAGAGUCCCCAGCUUAACCUGAUGGCAACUGAAGGCAAGGGUUGCGCUCGUUAUGGCACUUAAGCCGACACUUCACAGCACGAGCUGACGACAACCAUGCAGCACCUCGACAACUGUCCGAAGACUAUCCCAUCUCUGGAAUAUUCAGCUGCCGUUCGAGCCCGGGUAAGGUUCCUCGCGUAUCAUCGAAUUAAACCACAUGUUCCUCCGCUUGUGCGGGCCCCCGUCAAUUCCUUUGAGUUUCAGCCUUGCGGCC
rnacentral:rRNA from 1 species